rnacentral:lncRNA from 1 species
CCGAUCAUAUAUUUUGUGUGAGAUGUAAUCUGAGUCUUCCUUUUCUUGACGUUAGAGAUUAUAACACGUAUCCUUGAAUCCUUGUUCCUGAUGUUGCCAUGUCAUGUGUACACUUUCCUAAUAUUAAUCCCAGAUUAGAAGCCUCUUCACACUUCAACUGCUAACACCUAAAUCAUUACAAUAUCCCUUCGAUGAGAAAGGACCUUGUCCUCAAGGUCAUGUUUGAGACAAACUCUGGAAACUGACUGUGAAUAUAGCCCCAAUCCUCCCAAGUUGCUUUAUCUGGGCUCAUGUUAGCCAACCGCACCAAGACCUUAACACCAACGUUGUUGUUAACCUUCUCCAUUCAGCGUUGUAGUAUGGUGAUCGGUUGAAUCAAGACAUGGCCUUUCCCAUCGCAAUCUGGUGGUUGUGAUUGUUCUAGAAUAGUAGGUCCAACCCAUUCUUUCAGCUGCGAAACGUGGAACAGGGGGUGAAUAGUAGCUCCGAUCGAUAGAUCCAGAUGGUAAGCAACAAAUCCAAUCUUCUUCAAGAUUUUAUAUGGUCCAUAAAACAUAGCGCUUAAUUUGAGAUUUUCUUUGAAUAGUCACUGAUGAUUGACGAUAUAGUUGCAGCUUCAAGUAAACUAAAUCACCUUCCUGAAGCACUCUUUCCGUGCGAUUUCGAUCAGCGAAGAAAUUCAUACGAGAUUGGGCCUGCAGUAGAUUCUCCCUUAAUUUCUGAAGCAUGGCCUACCGUUGCGCAAAACAAAGACCAACUGGAGAACGUGUGGAAUGGGACAGUGAGCCCAUCGAAAGCUGGGGAGGUGGAUACCCGUAAAGAGCCUCAAAGGGGUCGUCUGCAAGGAGGUAUGAUGGUUGGUGUUAUACUACCACUCCGCUAAAGGUAACCACUACAACCAUUCUUUGGGUUUGUACUGGUCAUGGCUCGAAGAUAUGCCUCAAGGCAACGAUUAAGCCUUUCUGUUAGACCGUCCAUCUGGGGGUGGUAGGCGGUGGACAUAGCGAACUUAGUGCCCAUGGCUUUGAACAAUUGUUGACAAAAGAGACUAGUGAAAAUAGGGUCUCGAUCAGUCACAAUGGAUUGAGGCAAGCCAUGUAUUUGUAAAUUUAAAGUAAGAACACAUCUGCAACAUGCUGAGCUGUAAAUGGGUGUUUCAGGGCCAAGAAAUGGCCAUAUUUAGUCAAUCGAUCCACGACCACAAGUAUGAGAUCCUUAUGGUUAGAUAGAGGCAGUCCCUCUACAAAAUCCAUGGCUAUAUCUUUCUAAGGACUGAUGGGUACGGGUAGAGUCUGAAGCAAGCCUAAGGGGUGGAUGUUCUCAUUCUUUGUCCUCUAGCAAAUGUCACAAGCUGCAAUCUACCUAAUCACAUCCUGUUUUAUGUUAGGCCAAUAGAAAAUAGAGUGAAUUCUUCUGUAGGUACCCAACUGUCUUGAAUGACCCCCUAAGGGUGACAAGUGCAGUACCUCAAAGACUUGAGACCUCAAAUUAGUGGCUCUACCCAUGAAAUUUUUUUGCUUGUAUUGGAUGACACCAUGCACUAGAGUGUAGUUGGGCUUUCCCAUACGAUCGACAAUCAACUCUGUGAGUAUUGAGUGGAGAAUGGAUUAUGUUCAUAACUAAGAACAACCUGUUGCAUCCAAGUUGGUUCUGAUGAAGUAAGGGCAUAUGUAGAGCCUUCCUCUUCUUGUCUCCUAGAAAGGGCAUCAGCCACUCUGUUAUCAGUCCCCCUCUUGUAUUGUACUUCGUAGUAAAGGCUAAGUAGCUUAGUCAGACCGCUCAAGCAAAUAUUUGAGACUUGGUGGUCUGUCUUAAUAAUGAAGUGCCCCCUUUGUAAAUAAUGCCUCCAUUUAUUCACUACUGCCAACAAAGCCAUAUAUUCCUUUUCAUAGGUAGAUAGUCCCCAAUGCUUAGGCCAUAGAGCUUUGCUGAAAAAAGCUAAGGGUCAGCCCUCCUGCAUAAGCACAACACCCAUUCCCUUGGAGCAAACAUCAGUCUCCAUCACAAAUGUUUUAGAAAAUCCACCAAAGCAAGAACAAGGGCAGUAGUCAUGAUUGAUUUUAGGUGCUGAAAAGCUGCAUCUGCUUCACUAUUUCGGUGGAAGAAUUAUUAUUUAAUAAACUGGUUAAGGGUUUGCUUAUCACCCCAUAUAACUAGAUAAACCUCCUAUAGUAACCCGUUAACCCUAAAAAACCCUCUCAGAGCCUUAAGAGUUUUAGGUAAAGGCCAAUUAACCAUUGCAUCAAUUUUAAAGGGGUCAGUAGACACACCAUGACCCGUGAUGAUAUGACCCAAGUAUUCUACUUGUGAUUGUCCAAAAGAGCAUUUGGAUCUCUUGGCAUACAAAUGCCCUUUCCUCAAAAUAGUCAGCACUUUCUUCAAAUGUAAAAUGAGGUCUUGUAUAGUAGGACUAUACACUAAUAUGUCAUAAAAAAAGACUAAUACAAACUGCCUCAAAUAGUCUUUGAAAACUUGAUUCAUUAACCCUUGGAAAGUGGCCGAGGCAUUAGUUAAACCAAAUGGCAUGACCUUGAAUUCAUAGUAACCCAAAUGUGAUCUAAAGUCUAUUUUGUAGAUGUCCUCCUCAUUCAUUCUAAUUUGAUGAUAUCUAUCCCGUAGGUCAAUUUUUGAAAAGACAAAUGAUCUACUAAGUUCAUCCAAUAAGUCAUCAACUAAAGUAAUAGGAAACUUAUCCUUAAUAGCGAGCUUAUUGAGCUCCCUGUAAUCAAUGCAAAACCUCCAACUCCCAUCCUUUUUCUUCACUAACAGCACCGGGGAUGAAAAGGGGGAAUGACUAGGCUGAAUAAUGCCACUAUUCAACAUGUCUUUAAUUUGUUUUUCAAUCUCAUUUUUCUAAAAGAAAUUAUACCUGUAAGGUUUGAUACUAACUGGUUCUGCUUCUGGUUUAAG